rnacentral:lncRNA from 1 species
AAAUGAAAAUGAGACUGUAUGUAUUAAAGGAAACCAACUCAAUCAUUUUUCCAGUGUUACAUUAGCACCACCUGUAUUAUUUUGAGAUCCUCAUAAUCCUCAAAAAACAUCUCAAACUCAUCAAAAUAAUACGAAAAACCCUAUCAUAAUCAUUGGUGACGCAAGAAUAAAAUUGAAAAUAAGAGGAAACACAAAUGAAUAGGGUGACAAAAUAAAAAGGGUAGAGAUGUGUAGCCUUCAAAAGAUCAACCUAUAUCAGAAAUCACUUGAUCUGUACAUUUGAUGGAUAAGAAUGAAAAUUACUCAUAAAAGAU